rnacentral:lncRNA from 10 species
UGGUAAUAGGCUGACAUAUUACACUUGUUGAUGUAAAUCUGAUAGGUUUCUUUCUCUCCAAGGACAGCUUUUUAAAUAUUUAACAGUAUCAAUAAUUUUUCAGGUUCUGUGAGAAUUUUAUAAUUUAUAAUUUGCAGACUUAAUGUAUAAUCUAUUUUGUCCUAACAAUUACAAAUAUAUUUUUUAUUUCAGAUUGUAUAUAUUCCUACCAGAUGGAGAUAAUUACAGCUUUAAAAAUUUUUAUUUUUUCAUUUUAUUUCACACAUUGACAUUAAAUUUUUAUGGACACAUAAUAACUGUACAUAUAUAUGGGGUAGAAUGUGAUGUUUUAAUACAUGUACUCAAUGUGUAAUGAUCAAAUCAGGGUAAUUUGCAUAAUGAUUUUUCUGUAGGGAGAAAAUUCAAAAUCUACUCUUCUGGCUAUUUUCAAAUAUAUAAUAUGUUAUUGUUAACUAUACUCAUCCUACUAUGCAAUAGGACACCAGAACUUAUUCCUGGGUUCUACAUCCGUUAAGGCAACCAAGGAUUGGAAAUAUUGGAAAAAAAAAUUGCGUCUGUACUGAACAUGUACAGACUUUUUUCUUGUCCUUAUUCCUUACACAAUAUAGUACAAUAACUAUUUGCAUGACAUUUACAUCGGAUAUUAUGAGUGAUCUAGAGUUGAUAUGAAGUAUAUGGGAGGAUGUGCAAAGGUGAUGUGCAAAUACUAUGUCAUUUUAUAUCAGGGACUUGAGUAUCCUUUGUUACCCUCAGGAGAUCCUGAAACCAGUCCCCCAUGGAUACUGAGGGCUGACUGUAUAGUCCUAUCCUCACGGAACUUUCAUUCUAAUGGGGGAAGACUGACUAUAAACAAAAUAUAUGUAAUAGGUGGUGGUAAGUACCGUGGAGAAGUAACAAACGGGGCAAAGUGAGUUAUACAGCUCCAUUCUUAGAAACCUUGGAGUACUUUUCUUAGUUUAUACUUGUGGUGGUUUCCUUUUGUCUCCUUUAUUACAUGGGACUCUGACAUGUGCCCAUAGCUAGGGUGGCAGUAGGAUCUACCCAAAAAGCGUCCUGCUGAUACAGGACCAAAGCAUCCUGUUGUUCUCGAGCCUAUAAAAAGAGCUAAUGGUCUUGCUUCUCUUAACUGUGGCCUCCUACACUGUGUUUUGGAUGAUUGGUGAUGUCUUGGAUAUUCUGUUUCUUUGGAACUUUGAAUAUACAACACUUUACUAGGGAAUUAGCAAUGGAAGCAGAGCAAAGAUGUACAGAGGAAACAAUGCGUAACUCUGAUGGAAUUGAAGUCAUGAGGCAGCAGAGAGCUUAAAUUACAGCUUUAAAAAUUUUUAUUUUUUAGAGGGAAUUUACUUGGGAGUAACAGCAGUAAUAGUUAACGGAGCCAGAAUGCUUGAGUCAUAUAAUUGCAAAGCAGAGUUGGGAGCAACAGAUGCUAAAGAGUAGUUGCUGUAGUUCCUCUUUGGGUCGUAGGAGCAGUUGUCAUAUUCCUAUAUAGCUACUGCAUGAAGAAGAGUUCUUAGUGAGGCCUGGGUGAACAGCUCUUCUUAGUAUUCUGUGUGACCCCAUUUGACCUUUUAACAAAUCCCUAAGUAAAUAAAUAGCCCCUCAGGAAAACUAAGUUUUUCUCUGCUGUUUUUUUGCUUGAGAGAGCUAUAACUGUAAUAGACUUAUAUUUCUGAACAUUUUAGUGCUUGCCAAUAUUUGGUAAUAUUUAUGUUUCCUAUAUUUGUAAUGAACAUUCUUCUUCCGGUACAUUUUUUGUUAAAUUAUUGUUUGAUGGAUAAAAGUUCACCUUUUAUUGUAUAAAAUUGACUGAGAUUAAUUUAUACACAUUGACAAUGGGUAAAUACAAUUUUUCAGAUUAUUAAAAGCUGAAGGAUGCCCACGUAAGCAAA